AAAAGCCCCCAGCUUCAUCCCCUUUCCCAUUCACGGCUAAAACUAACGCAUCACAGAGACUAGUACACUAAAACUCUUCUUCUCGGCCACGCAUCACAGAGACGACCACCACUUCUCGCGCAUCAUCUUCUCGCCGGACAAUCACCUCCUACCACAGACGACCACCUCGUACGUUGUUCGGCCGCUUAUCACAGACGAACCAGGCGUACGUUCUUCAGCCGCGCAUCACAGACGAACCAGGCGUACGUUCUUCAGCCGCGCAUCACAGACGAUCAAGUAAAUAACGGGAUGGACAUUCUCGCACCACUUCUUGCAAAACGAAUCGUUUUCUACCACAGAGGUUUUAAUUUUCACUCUUCACCAUUUGUAUUCCCGACGCCAAGCAUAAUGCGUCGGGAGUGGCGUCGAGAAAAAGGGUAUUCUCAACGCGUCGGCCAAACGACGUCGGGAAUAAGGCCAAAUUGAAUUUAAAAUACACUUUAUUCUCGACGCCAUGCACAGUGCGUUGGGAACGGCGUCGGGAAUAAGGGAUUUUUCCGACGCACUAUUGCGUGUCGGGAAAACCUUUUAAUGAGCGUCGGGAAUAUCCUUUUUUCCGAUGCCAUAAAGGGGAUCUCCCGACGCAUCGGGAGAUCUCCUUUAUAAACGUUUUAGUUCUGUUUUACACAGAACUGAAAACGAAAGAGAAAGGGAGAAGAGAGAAACGAAGAUUCGUCGUCGCCUAUAGCUCGUCGCCGUCCGUUCUGUCGUCGUUGUCGUCCCUCGCCGUUCCGCCGCCGUCUGCCACCUCAGGGAAGAGUUCGAGUCAUGGCAUUGGUAGUGAAGCUAUUUUCAGUUUAUAGCUCUGUGGCAUCGGUAGUAUACAAUGCAAAUUUACUAAGCCUACUGAAACGUGAAAUCAAUAACCUGCAGCCAUUACUAAGCUUUUUUUUGUAUUAUGAGAACUACAUUUUUUGUACUAAACUUAUUAAUAUUUUUUGAACUUAUUCGUAUUAUUAAAUUAAUUUUUUUUUAA